GUGUGUUUGUUUUAUCUUAUCUCAUUUUAUUUCAUUUCAUUUUUCACCGGUUCAUUUCAGAGAUGUGUCCAAUACAGAGAGCAAGGCACAUCACUUCUCUCCUCACACCACUGCUACUCUCUAGGUCGGAAGAAGAAAAGGACCAAUCCCCAGUAGGGUGUCAGGAUGGUCUACUGGGGAAGGCUGAAAAUUUGCAAAGUGGGAGAUGAAAAUAAUGAUGGAAAGGGGUUAUCUCUUAGAGUUGUAGCUGUAUCAUAUAUAUGAAGCCUCCUAAAGCCAGUAUGUACAGAGCCAUCUUUUCCACAACUAUUAAAAAGUUGCUGGUGAGUGGCCAACAACUACCACACUGACCUGCAGACCAGAAAGUGGACAAGGGUUACUGUACCCAGGCUGAGAAGUGAACAAAUACGGAGUUCAUGGAAGAGGUGGGGCAUUAUCCAAAGGAUUUUUGUUACUUACAAAUCUCCCUAACAUCAAGUGCAUGCACAAUAAACUGUGUCUGGUUAAGGA